UAGGGAAUAUUGGUCAAUGGGUGAAAGCCUGAACCAGCCAUGCCGCGUGCAGGAAGACGGCCUUCUGGGUUGUAAACUGCUUUUACCAGGGGAUAAAAUACCCGUGCGCGGGGAAUUGAAGGUACCUGGUGAAUAAGCCACGGCUAACUACGUUCCAGCAGCCGCGGUAAUACGUAGGUGGCAAGCGUUGUCCGGAUUUAUUGGGUUUAAAGGGUGCGUAGGCGGCUUUGUAAGUCAGUGGUGAAAUACUCCAGCUCAACUGGAGAGGUGCCAUUGAUACUGCAGAGCUAGAGUACUGAUGAGGUAGGCGGAAUGGACGGUGUAGCGGUGAAAUGCUUAGAUAUCGUCCAGAACACCGAUAGCGAAGGCAGCUUACUAAAGAGUAACUGACGCUGAGGCACGAAAGUGUGGGGAUCAAA
rnacentral:rRNA from 1 species